AAAGACAACGGUACAUGAGGAUGUCAGGCUGGGGACCGCCGUGACCCAAAUACCUUUUCUGUAGCCGUAUCCAUGCGGCACAUUGUAUAGUACUUAUUAUGUAUAAAUAUGAUGUAUGUAAAUAGUGUAAACAUAACAUGGAAAAUAAUAUGUUAAAUAGCCAAAUUUCUUGUCAUCUAAUUAGUGACGCGCACGAAAGGGUUAACGAGCUUCCCACUGUUCCUACUUACUAUCUAGCGAAACCACUGCCAAGGUAACGGGCUUGGAAAAAUUAGCGGGGAAGACUACGGAGAAGACCCUGUUGAGCUUGACUACAGUCUGGCACUGGAAGGAGACAUGAGAGGUGUAGCAUAAGUCGGAGAUGGCAACAUCGCCGGUGAAAUACCAAUACUUUCAUGGUUUCCUUAAAUACUCGGUUGGGCGGAGCGCGUGCCCUGAGGGCCUCGUGCCCCGGCGGUCACGGUGUUCUAGAGCCAAGCGUGUCAGAGUGUCGAGAGGCCUCGGCCGAUCGCCGUUAAUACGCCCGCGUGAUCCGAUUCUAGGACACUGCCAGGCGGGGAGUUUGACUGGGACGGUACAUCUUUCAAAAAAUAACGCAGGUGUCCUAAGGCCAGCUCAUGGAUGACAGAAACCUCGCAUAGAGUAAAAGGGCAAAAGCUGGCUUGAUCUCGAUAUUCAGUAAGCACAGAGACUGCGAAAACAUGGCCUAUCGACCUUUUGGCUUGAAGAGUUUUCAGCAAGAGGUGUCAGAAAAGUUACCACAGGGAUAACUGACUUGUGGCGGCCAAGCGUUCAUAGCAACGUCGCUUUUCGAUGCUUCGAUGUCGGCUCUUCCUAUCAUUACGAAGCAGAAUUCGCCAAGCGUCGGAUUGUUCACCCGCCAACAGGGAACGUGAGCUGGGUUUAGACCGUCGUAAGACAGGUUAGAUUUACCAUACUGAUGACUAGUCAUUGCGAUAGUAAUCCUGCUCAGUACGAGAGGAACCGCAGGUUCGGACAUUUGGUUCACGCACUCGGUCGAGCGGCCGGUGUUGCGAAGCUACCAUCCGUGGGAUUAUGCCUG
rnacentral:ncRNA from 1 species